UACGGAGGGUGCGAGCGUUACCCGGAAUCACUGGGCGUAAAGGGCGUGUAGGCGGUUCACUAAGUCUGGCUUUAAAGCCCGGGGCUCAACCCCGGUUCUGGGCUGGAUACUGGUGGGCUUGACGGCUGGAGGGGAGGGUGGAAUUCUCGGUGUAGCGGUGGAAUGCGUAGAUACCGAGAGGAACACCAGUGGCGAAGGCGGCCCUCUGGACAGUGCGUGACGCUGAGGCGCGAAAGUGUGGGGAGCGAACCGGAUUAGAAACCCCUGUAGUCC
rnacentral:rRNA from 1 species